AGAGGGAUAGCUGGGUCAAAUGGUGGUUCCAUUUCCAGUUUUCCAAGGAAUCUCCAUACUGCUUUCCGUAUUGGUUGUACCAAUUUGCAGUCCCACCAGCAAU
rnacentral:pre_miRNA from 1 species